ACAGUGAAGCAAAUGAUGAACAACGCGAGAAUGAACAAAAAUUAACACUGCUGAGAAUCAAAAGAAACACAAGCUUAGAAUCAAACUGAAACAAAACACAAAGCUAAUAACAGAGACAAAGACAAAAAACGCUAAUCAACACAGAAACAAGAUCAAACCGAGAUAAAGGAAACCAAAAGCAAAGAUCGAGACACUUAUCAUUGACGCGUGGACAUAACCUGAUGCUCUGAAUACCACUUGAUACGCUCGACUCCGGUAAGAAUCCAUGGAUCUGGCGCGGAUCGAUCGGAGGAACGGAUGAGAGACGCAGCGGAAGUCGAAAAACGAAGAUAACCCUAGGUUUUGGUGGUUUGCAAGGAAAAGGAAGUGAACAGAAAGGUUUGUUCGGUAGGAAAGCUGAGGUUUGACACGGACACAGGUUUAAUCGACGGAGAAAUGGUUAUAAUCGGUGGAAAGGAAGGUUUCACCGAUUGGAUCGGUGAUAUGGAAGGAAGGAUAAAAAACAUUCGAUUAGACGGAAGGCAAGGAUGAUGAGAUGGUAGAUCUAGGCAAGAAAAACGAAUUUACCGGUGGAGAUAUGAGGAUCUGUGGUUCGUGGUUAAAACCCUAGCAGACGAAGUUCGGCGAGAGUGAAAGGGUUCUGUGACGCGAGAAGGCAAUUNGCGUUUUUGAUGCGUGGAAGGAAAGUGAGUGACGAGGCAAUGGUUCUGACGUGUGGUGAAGGAAGCUGACACCACUGAUGAUGCGUCUGAGGCCUAUUGGUAGAGAAGGUGACGCAAUGUCAUGAGAGAGAAAGCACAAUGGUAAAAAAUGGAAAAUGAAAGAAUGAGGUAGUGUGCUGGAAGGUGGCUAGAGGAGGUCCCUUGGACUCUCUAGCCUGACUUUCAAGGGAGAAUUAAUUCUGGAUUUCAGAAAUCUAAUUCUCAUUUAGCUCAAAAGUGAUUACAAGAUGUGUUAGCAUGCCUAUAUAUAGGGCUAAAUGUACCACAUGCCUAACACAUUGUACACAUCUCUAAUACAAUUAAAAGAAAUACUAAACUAAAGGCAUUGGGCUUUGGGCCCCGCGUAUCAGGAGUGCACCCCUAUUUUACUAUGCACACCAUAAGCCACUUUUCUGAUUUUUAGCACAUGUAUGUCGUGCUCCAUCUUCUAGAUACUCAGCACAUUUCUUUUGCUUUCAUAAGUGGCACUAGAUCCACACUUUGAGGACCAGCAUAUGCCACGCCACUGCCCAUGAACAUUCUAUAAAUUCAUGGCAGCCUCCUUGUAAACGUUACUUUGGAAUUAAAUGAGAAAUUUAUUUGCUGAUGCAUUCUUUCCAGCUUGGGAAAACUCUACCAAAGUCACCCACAGAGCCUUGUUUCCCCUCCACUAGCUUUCUUCCUCUAGAAGAUCGUCUAAGCUAGAUACCACCACACCAUAAGCUCAUCCCUCCAUCACUGAAUCACCGUGCCUAUCGUUUUUGCAUCAUGCUGCUUCUAUACUUUCGGAUCCUUCAUCCACCGUUGACACAUUCCACAAAAAGCCACUUCAUGCUUGUUCUUCCCUCUGCAACUUCCUUCCUUGUAUGGAAGGCUACCUGAGUUGUAGCCACUGCAUUUUAAACAUGUUGAACAUAUAUAACAGUUAAAAUGCAUAAGAACAUGUAAUCACAGCAAUCAACAUAUGCAUGUUAUUAAGCAAUGUGUUGUCAUCAUAAAAAACUACAUUGAUAUAGAAAUUGUGUUGUUAACAAUCUCAACAAUCUCCCCCUUUUUUGAUGAUGCACAACCAUGAUUAAUAACCAACCAUGUUUGCACAAUCUAAUUCCAAACAGCAAAAUAUCAAGCAGAUAAGAAGAAUAUGAGAUAGAAUGAAAAUGCAUUUUUCUCUUUUCAUAUUCUCCCCCUUUCAUAAAGCUUUUAUACAAUCUCUCCCCCUUUUUGCAUUAGCAAAAACGGUAUGCUCUAGAUAUUUAUGCUGAAAUAUCAAAUAGAGAUGCAUCAAAACAGAGAUAUGCAAUAGUCAAUAUGCAGUGAUGCUCUCAUUAGCACAUUUAAAUCAUAUGAAAAUGAUAACUCCCCCUGAAGUGUAGGCAUGUGAAAUAUAUAAGAGUUUCAAAGGAUUACAUUAAUUCCCCAACAACAAUGGAGGUUUAGUUCACCAUAAUCAUGGUGAAACUAGAUGAAAAUAAUGGAAGGAAUGAAAAGAUAAACCCUAGAUUUGAUAGAUUGGAGCUCCCGCAUCCAAAAUCCACCUCCGAGGGGUGAAGAGAGUGUUUCUGUGUCCUUUCUGUCAAAAGAUACCCCUUCUGGUUCGUCUGGGUCUAUAUAUAGCACAAAAAAAUAACACAAUUUUGGCCCAGGCCUAAUAGAACAUCGCCCGGUGGAUGGUGCGACACUCAGAAUGGCCUCCAUGCAGUGACGCUCAGUCGCGAAACAGUGAACUUCAUCAGCAGCGCCAUUGCUCAGCGGUACAAACCCACUGCUCAACGCCAGCGGAUUUUUCAGCACUUCAUUUUUCUGCACUCUGGUUAACUUUUCUGCAUUUUGUUUGACCUUUCUACACUACAACUCCUUGAUACUUCAACCCUUAUUUCCAAUCAUUUGAUAAACCUACAAAAUCAAAGGAAAACCAAGCAUAAAACCAAGAAAACCAACUUUGACUCUCUUAUUCUAUAACUUAAGCAAAAUGCAUGAUUGCAAGCUAAUUCUAAGUCAUAAAGAGUGUGAUUUAAUAUAAAAAUUAAGUAUAAACAUAACGGCUUUUGAACCGUUAUCACAACCCCAAACUUAGAACUUUGCUUGUCCUCAAGCAAACAAGAUGAAACUUAGUCUUCCAUAAAUCAUCACAAUAGUUCAACUGUUUCCUAAUCUUUUUCUUUCAAGACAAGUAAUCACUCAAAUCAUCUCAUCAAUAGAAUUUAGUCAAGAUGUACACACGCCUUUAUUCACAAUAA
rnacentral:lncRNA from 1 species